rnacentral:lncRNA from 1 species
GCUAUUAGGGUUUCUAUACAUUAUAAUAUCCCUUGUAGCAUUGUUUGCUUAUUUGAAACUUCAGUGGUUUUAAUUAUUUCAGCGUGAAAGAUAGCUAAAGAUGCUUUGUUAAAACUAAGCAACGAUAAGGUAAUGGUUUAUCUAGUGGGAGUAGAAGGUAAAACUCCCUUAUGGCCAACGUGUUUAUGCAUCAUACGUGAAUGGUUUUGUGAUAUGGUGAUUUCAGAGUGGCUGUGCUAUGAUAGUGUUCAGGCGAAGAUUUCUCCAGAGAGGGCUUUUCGGCUAUCAAAAUAGCUCCCCAAGGGAUUGGCACUUUGGAGGUGUAGUCGGGCUCUUGCCUGCUAUUGUGCAAGAAGAGGACAGAGUUAGUUUUGAAAGGUGCCUUUGUCGGGCCUGAGGUGUUGGUAGUAAAUUAUAACGCACCACAAAGUAGCACACAAUAAUCCUAUUAAUUUUCCUUAUUAACACUAAGAUUUGUCAAUUGUAGCAUAUGAAAAUAAGGGUCUUUCCCGCAGAAGAUUGUUUUAUCCAAAUACUUAAAAUGUCACAAAAACGGGUGGCUGUCUCCACUGACCAGCCACCAAACAAUAAUUAUUAGACUAACUUAUACUUAUCCAAAUGCAACGAAAUUUUAUACACAUAAACUAGAGACACCAAGCUAUGCUCACACAAAGUUUUGGGAUUUUUGGAGUUGAUUUUCUAUUUAAAUUAAAUCAUAAAAAACAGUACAGAAACCGAUUUUAAAUAAUACCAAUAGAUUUUAAUUCACAAGUUAAGAAAAUGAGUUAGGGGACAUGCUUUCCACCACCAAAUAAUCAUGCAAACAUGUUAUGUUUCAUUCAAAUUCCUUUUAUUUCCGGAUGAAGAUGCUCAAGUUGGCUCACUGUUAGAACUCAACCUAUUACUCUUUCUUACGUAGUAUGUUAAGAGAAUGGCGUUUUCAACUUAACUUAGUCCCUAGCAUGCAAUCUAGAAUGGUGUGUUCAUAGAUUUAACAAGUAGAAAUCAUUAAGAAUAAAAAGAGUUUGAGUCAUCACAAGGCUUCGUAAGCACUGGCGUUGUCUUACUUAUCCUAGAAAUCGGUUCACAUGUUAACCACAAUUAACAAGUGCUACUCUAGAACAUAUGUAGGUCCUCAUUCAACAAGGGCAGGCAGACAUAUAUUCAUAGCAUUAAAAUCCUAGAUAUGCUCACUAUGUAUGCAUCCAUAGAAACACAUAAAGAAUUUAUCAAUGACAUAAGUAGUGAAACAAUUUUCAUCCUUUCAUAAAAGUCAUUCAAACAAAAUAUCACAACAUACUUACAAUCAUAUUCGGGGCUUCAAAACAACCCCUAACUACUAAAAAUUAGUUACACAUUAUUUUCAAAUUAAACCAAAAGUUAAACAUGGGUUCGAGAAGAUAAAACCAAGAAAAAUGGAGUGAAGCCUCUUCUCCCUGCUCUCUGCCGUGCCUUCUCCUUUGGAUUGCUGUGCUACUGACUUUUCCCCUGCGUUCACUUCCCCCGUGCCUUCUCUCUGUAUUUUUCUGUUUUUUCUUUCUCUGCACCGUGCUCUCCCUUUGCCUCUGACCUGCCCUCUGACCUUCCCUCUGACCUUCCUCGUCCGUCCACUCUCCUUCUUACGUCUCCCCUCUUUUCCGCUAUCUCCUCGACAGCCUGCCCUCCUGCCCUUUUAUUCUUUCCGCACUGCCUCAGUGCUCUCUCUCCACUCUUAUUUUCUGCUCGCUGUCAGUCCUUGUGCCUUCUCUGUCAGUCUCCAUGUCUCUCUCUUUAUUUUCUGCAUUCCCCGCACUGACUUCCCCACUUCUUUGCCAGCCAGUCCGAGUCCCACUCUCUUUUCUGUUUUUAUUCCUUCUGCAGUCCACGUGCUUGCUGGCAUGUCCACAAUUUCUUUUAUUCUUUUAUUUAUUAUUCUUCCUUGCCACAGAAGAAUGCCAUCAGCCCUUUUUCCUUUCUCAUGUUCUCGACAUAGCAACAGUAAAGGAACAGUAAUCUUCACUGAGCAUGUGCACUUGAUGACUGAUGAGAUUCUGCAGUAAUGGAAUGACUACACGCAUGCGGUGAUCAUGUGUGUGGCUUUAGUGCUCUUUUCAAGGUAUAAGCUGGAAAGUAUUUUUAGCAGCAAGAUUCUUUUGUGCUAUUUUUAUUUUCUUUGCAUAACAAAUCCUAUAAACACAAAAAUAACGUAAAUAGCUCAAAAAUAUAAGGAACUAACUAAGAAAAGACGAGUGAAUUCGAAGUAAAAUAUAUAUAAAUAUGAUCC